rnacentral:lncRNA from 1 species
UAAUGAGUAAAUAAUAGGGAGGGAACACCGACCCAAGAAUAGAAAGAGGACAUCAAGCUCUGUUACUAUAUUGAAUGCUAGAGUUAAACAAAUUUUUAUAAAAGCUUAAACUUGUUCAAGCCUUAUAUAGCUAUUUCUUUAAGGAUAAGUCAGCCACUGCAAUUUCUCCCAGAAGCAAACAGAAACAUUCUCUCUUUAAAGAAGCCAAAAAGCUGCACAGCACGCUUGCGUUUAAAACUAUAACCUAAGUGUGCCACUCUCAUAAAAGAAAAAAAGAUUUGCCACUCUGAUCUACCAACCGUGCUAUGUCAUAUGGUAAUACUCAAAAUUCAUAGAAUGUGAGAGAAGUAAAGAGUAUAUGUAAGUGGGAACAAGAAAUGAAGAUGUAUUCCUUCUCCUGCAAAAGAUAGCUUA